rnacentral:lncRNA from 10 species
CAUCUUGUGAGCAUCUGGGCCAAGUUCAGGGCUGGUGCUCUCGUUCAGAUAGAUUUAGCUGGUGGUGCAGAGAUCCGUGAGCUUGCUUUUACAGGACUUUAAUGAUAUAUAAAAGCAGCACGAGGUGCUCCUGACUGUGGAUUAAUUUGGAGAUGACUUUCUCUGUUGAAGAGUAGCAAGACUCUCGCGAGUUCUUAAAAAUGCACUUGUUUGGUAUGAGAAUGAAAAGCAGUGGCUGAAGAACCAAUCUUCAAUGGGCAAGCCUUCUCUGUGUCUGUUCUAACACGUGCCAUUUGGGAUCCCUUGGAAUCUUCAUGUACAGAACUGGUUGCUGCCUCGUUGAGUCGGUGGGGACAGAAUAGCUCCUGGUUGACAGCAUGGGUUGUGCAGAAGGACGGAUCCUGCAGACAUCAAUAUCUGGCUUUGAGUGGCACAAAGAAAUAAAGGAAUGUGGAUUCAGACCUCACUGGGAUGCUUGGCAAUUCUAAUUCUACCCCAGACUGCAAAUGGACACACAACUGUUGUGACUUUUGUUGAAGAGGAGAAGGAUGGCACAGAAGCUGGAUUCAGAAGCACACAGGUCUGGGGAUGCAGGCUUCGGCCAGCCUGAUGCAAGGAAAGACUGCCAUCUCGUGGUCAGCUCAAUCCUGGCACCUUGGUGAGGGACCAGGCUGCAGAAAACCAGGCUUGGGGAGGAAACGGUGCUGCAAACUGGAUUUCUGCCGGACAGUGUGGAUGCCCUUAGAAAACACCCAGAAAAGAGCUGAGUGCCCCCCAAGGCUGUUUCCCAUAUAAGGUUCAUGACCCCCAGUGAGGAUGAAACUGCCUGCAAGGUUUGUCUUCUCUCCUGUUCACUGGUUACUCAGCCAGGCUGAUUCAUGGGCUUCUCAAAGGAGCUUGUUUAUCAGAAGCUUGUCUAAGACACCACGUCUUCCAGAAAAUCUCACCUGAGUCACCAACAGAUUCCUCUAAGAGUCUGUAAGCCACUCCUGACCAGCAGGAAACCCCAACAGAGGCAAAGAAUAGGAAAUUAAAUAUUUCGUCAAGAAAAAAUGAGAGGCUGGGUGCGGUGGCUCAUGCCUAUAUCCCAGCACUUUAGGAGGCCUAAGCGGGCGGAUCAUUUGAGGUCAGGAGUUUGAGACCAGCCCGGCCAACAUGGUGAAACCCUGUCUCUACUAAAAAUACAAAAACAAUUAGCUGGGCAUGGUGGUGGGUGCUUGUAAUCCCAGCUACUGGGGGAGGCUGAGGCGGGAGAAUCGCUGAAACCCAGGAGACAGAAGUUGCUGUGAGCCGAGACCACACCACUGCACUCCAGCCUGGGUGAGAGUGAGACUGUCUCAAAAAAAAAAAAAAAAAAAAAAAAAAAGCAAGAAAGCUCCCAUUUAGAUCACUCGGACAAAAGAUUUCUUUUUGUGCCAAAAUGUUCCACUAGGCUUCCAGUUUUUACCACAUAACUUGACAGUCAUGCAAGACUUAAGUGUAUUUUCAGCUAUCCUUUCUCUUUCAUUUAUUUCUGUUUAAUAAGCUCUGUCCAUUGAUUCUAGUUAGUACAUUAUAUAUCUUUUUAAUCACUUACCUGCAG